UAGGAGCCGUGCCGGACACUCCACAAACUAUCCGGCACUAGGUGGAAAAGAAGGAGGAUACAGGUCCGUAGGCCCACGGUGCAGCAGUGUGGAGACCUGCUGUAAAGCGGCGGUGGAGCCACCGCAUGCGGAGCCGUCCGCGCGGAGGCGGGGCGGUCAGGGCUGUAACGAUAUGGCA
ncrna:unclassified sequences malK-I RNA